CCCUAUGGGGUGCAGCAGUUACGAAAACUCCCCAAUUCACGAAAGUGUGAGGGGGCUAUCCCGAGUGCCGUCCGCUGAGGAUGGCUUUUCCCCAUUGUACAAAGCUGGGGGAAUAAGGAGAGGGCAAGACUGGUGUCAGCCGCCGCGGUAAUACCAGCUCUCCGAGUGGUGGGGACGUUUAUUGGGCCUAAAGCAUCCGUAGCCUGCUGGAAAAGUCCUCCGUUAAAUCCACCGAUUCAAUCGGUGGGCUGCGGGGGAUACUGUUCAACUAGGGAGCGGGAGAGGCUGACCGUAUUCUCGGAGUAGGGGUGAAAUCUUAUAAUUCCGAGAGGACCACCAGUGGCGAAGGCUGUCAGCUAGAACGCGUCCGACGGUGAGGGAUGAAAGCUGGGGGAGCGAACCGGAUUAGAUACCCGGGUAGUCCCAGCUGUAAACUCUGCAGGCUAGGUGUUGGAGCGGCUACGUGCCGCCUCAGUGCCCAAGGGAAGCCGUUAAGCCUGCCGCCUGGGAAGUACGGUCGCAAGGCUGAAACUUAAAGGAAUUGGCGGGGGAGCACCACAAGGGGUGAAGCUUGCGGUUUAAUUGGAGUCAACGCCGGAAACCUCACCGGGGGCGACAGCCGAAUGAAAGUCAGAUUAAAGUCUUACUGGACAAGCUGAGAGGAAGUGCAUGGGCAA
rnacentral:rRNA from 1 species